AUGCUGAGAAUGUGUGGAGCGGAGCAAAUGAUUUAGAUCAGGAUGGGAUCUAUGAAUUUGCUGUAGAAAAUGGUCCAUUUUCUUUAACUAAUCCCCCAUUUGGUCAAGUCAAUUAUGUUGAUCCAAAUUCGCCCUGUGCUGGGAGAAUAUAUGCCGUCGCCGGUGAUUACUGGUAUUGGGAAAUUGUACCCUGUUACGGUUCUGCUCAAAACUACAUUUGCGAGUACAAAUUGAGAGUUUGUCCGUAGAGAGGAUGCAGG